CUAAGGAGCACUUCUGCAUGAUCGCCUCGAACAGUCGAGCGUGGUCGUGCCAGAGACCGCUUAUGUCCCCGACUGUGGGACUGCGGAAGCUCAUGGGUGGAACGCUGACAGCUUCUUCCGUGUAUCGGUCGGUCUUGGAUGAUCGGCCGGCGGGUGAUAUAUCGACACACUGUUGGGUCCUGAAAGAACAGGCGUUCUUUCCAGGCAAAAAAUACGAUCCGGGAGUUUCUCCGGUCAUACCGGUCUCGAUCCCUUCGGGGGUUGGGGUGCUGGUGUCGGGACAGGUUUCUUUCGGGUGUGUUGUUUGAGAACUGCACAGUGGACGCGAGCAUCUUUGUUAGUAAGUGUUGAAGAGCGUAC
rnacentral:misc_RNA from 1 species